ACUCCUGCGGGAGGCAGCAGUGGGGAAUAUUGGACAAUGGGCGCAAGCCUGAUCCAGCCAUGCCGCGUGAGUGAUGAAGGCCCUAGGGUUGUAAAGCUCUUUCACCGGUGAAGAUAAUGACGGUAACCGGAGAAGAAGCCCCGGCUAACUUCGUGCCAGCAGCCGCGGUAAUACGAAGGGGGCUAGCGUUGUUCGGAUUUACUGGGCGUAAAGCGCACGUAGGCGGACUAUUAAGUCAGGGGUGAAAUCCCGGGGCUCAACCCCGGAACUGCCUUUGAUACUGGUAGUCUUGAGUUCGAGAGAGGUGAGUGGAAUUCCGAGUGUAGAGGUGAAAUUCGUAGAUAUUCGGAGGAACACCAGUGGCGAAGGCGGCUCACUGGCUCGAUACUGACGCUGAGGUGCGAAAGCGUGGGGAGCAAACAGGAUUAGAAUCCCCAGUAGUCCC
rnacentral:rRNA from 1 species